GUCUGUGGCCAUACCACCCUGAACGUGCCCAAUCUCAUCUGAUCUCGGAAGCUAAGCAGGAUUGGGUCUGGUUAAUACUUGGAUGGGAGAUCACUUGGAGUUAUAAAGAUAGAAGAUA
rnacentral:rRNA from 1 species